rnacentral:rRNA from 1 species
UACAGAGGUCUCAAGCGUUGUUCGGAUUCAUUGGGCGUAAAGGGUGUGUAGGUGGCGCGCUAAGUCGGGGUGUGAAAUUUCGGAGCUUAACUCCGAAACUGCAUUCGAUACUGGCGUGCUUGAGGACUGGAGAGGAGACUGGAAUUUACGGUGUAGCGGUGAAAUGCGUAGAUAUCGUAAGGAAGACCAGUGGCGAAGGCGGGUCUCUGGACAGUUCCUGACGCUGAGGCGCGAAAGCGUGGGGAGCGAUCCGG